AGCUCCAAAAGCGUAUAUUAAUACUGUUGCAGUUAAAAAGCUCGUAGUCGAAUGUAUGACCACGUGAACCUGGCCCACACUCUAGUAGUGUGCGUGUCGGUGUGCUCAGGUCAUUUUCCUGGAGAGCACUUCUGCCCUUGAUUGGGUGGUUGUGUAAUUCAGGACAUUUACUGUGAAAAAAUCAAAGUGUUCAAAGCAGGCAUUGUGCUUGUAUGGUUCAGCAUGGAAUAAUAAGAUAAGACUUCGGUUUUGUCUUGUUGGCUAAAAAACCAAAGUAAUGAUUAAUAGGGAUGGUUGGGGGUGCUAGUAUUCAGUGGUUAGCGGUGAAAUGCGGAGACCCAUUGAAGACUGACUUAAGCGAAAGCAUUCACCAAGGACAUCUUCUUUGAUCAAGAACGAA
rnacentral:rRNA from 1 species